rnacentral:rRNA from 1 species
GACAGGGGAUGCAAGCGUUACUCGGAAUUACUGGGCGUAAAGCGUCUGUAGGCUUUUGGAAAAGUCUGGGGUCAAAUGUCGGGGCCCAACCCCGUCAACGUCCUGGAAACUCUCCAAAUUGAGCAAUGUAGAGGUACCUGGAAUGCCAUAUGUAGGAGUAAAAUCCGUAGAUCUAUGGUAGAACGCCAAAAGCGAAGGCAGGGUACUAGGCAUUCGCUGACGCUGAGAGACGAAAGCGUGGGGAGCAAAGGGG